ACUCCUACGGGAGGCAGCAGUGGGGAAUAUUGCACAAUGGGCGCAAGCCUGAUGCAGCCAUGCCGCGUGUAUGAAGAAGGCCUUCGGGUUGUAAAGUACUUUCAGCAGUGAGGAAGGCGGAGUCGUUAAUAGCGGCCUCGUUUGACGUUAGCUGCAGAAGAAGCACCGGCUAACUCCGUGCCAGCAGCCGCGGUAAUACGGAGGGUGCGAGCGUUAAUCGGAAUUACUGGGCGUAAAGCGCAUGCAGGUGGUUUGUUAAGUCAGAUGUGAAAGCCCGGGGCUCAACCUCGGAAUUGCAUUUGAAACUGGCAGACUAGAGUACUGUAGAGGGGGGUAGAAUUUCAGGUGUAGCGGUGAAAUGCGUAGAGAUCUGAAGGAAUACCGGUGGCGAAGGCGGCCCCCUGGACAGAUACUGACACUCAGAUGCGAAAGCGUGGGGAGCAAACAGGAUUAGAUACCCUGGUAGGAAAGCC
rnacentral:rRNA from 1 species